GGAAAGUAUAAGUUCUUCGCUAGCUACUUAUUUGCUUACUUACUUUAAUUACAUACUUACUUACUUACUUACUUACUUACUUACUUACUUACUUACUUACUUACUUAAUUACUUACUUAAAUAUUUACUUUCUUCUUACUUACUUACUUACUUUCUUCUUACUCAUUUAUUUACUCACUUAUUUACUUUCUUCUUACUUACUUAUUUACUUACUCACUUAUUUACUUAUUUACCUUCUUCUUACUUAUUUACUUACUUAUUUAUUUUCUUCUUACUUACUUACUUACUUCCUUACUCACUCACUUAUUUACUUACUUAUUUACUCAUUUACUUUCUUCUUACUUACUUACUUACUUACUUACAUACUUAUUUGCUUACUUACUUAUUUACUUUCUUCUUACUUACUCACUUACUUACUUACUCAUUUAUUUACUUUCUUACUUACUUACUUAUUUACUUCCAUAUUUACUUUCUUUUUACUUACUCACUUAUUUACUUACUUACUUACUUAUUUACUUUCUUCUUACUUACAUACUUAUUUACUUACUUAUUUACUUUCUUUUUACUUACUCACUUAUUUACUUAUUUACUUUCUUUUUACUUACUCACUUAUUUACUUACUUAUUUACUUUCUUUUUACUUACUCACUUAUUUACUUACUUACAUACUUAUUUACUUUCUUCUUACUUACAUACUUAUUUACUUACUUAUUUACUUUCUUUUUACUUACUCACUUAUUUACUUACUUACUUACUUAUUUACUUUCUUCUUACUUACUUAUUUACUUUCUUAUUACUUACUUACUUACUCACUUAUUUACUUACUUUAAUUAUAUACUCACGCACUCACUCACUCACUCAUUCUCUUUAUUACUUACUUACUUGUUUACUCACUUAAUUAUUUAUUUUCUUACUUACUUACGUACUUUAAUUACAUACUUACUUCCUUACUCACUUAUUUACUUACUUUCUUGUUUACUCGCUUAUUAAAGUUCUUCCCUACUUACUUGUGUAAACUCUAGAGAAGUAGUGUGAAGUGUGUGAAAAUCCCACAAGAUCAGCAGUUUCUGAAAUACUCAAACCAACCCAUCUCAAACCAACAAUAACACAGUUAAAGUCACUGAGAUUACAUUUGUCCUUCAUUCUGAUGUUAGAUAUUGAACGUGAAUCGAAUCUCGACAUUCAUCUGCAUAAUUAAUAUUGGAUGAUAUUGGAUAAUUG
ensembl:lncRNA